rnacentral:rRNA from 1 species
UAGGGAAUCUUCCACAAUGGGCGAAAGUCUGAUGGAGCAACGCCGCGUGAGUGAAGAAGGGUUUCGGCUCGUAAAACUCUGUUGUUAAAGAAGAACAUAUCUGAGAGUAACUGUUCAGGUAUUGACGGUAUUUAACCAGAAAGCCACGGCUAACUACGUGCCAA